UUAUUUGGAGACCCUUUGGGGUUUGUGGGAGUGAUGCCUUGGUGACUAUCCUCAAGAUUGAAAUUAUGAUACCUGUCACCCAGAAAAGAUGUUGAUUAGUGGUAUAAAUAAGCAAUUAAGCAUGGACUUUGACAGCAGCUGAGUAUCAAAGCUACAACUGAAUUUGCUUUGUAUAGAUUAGUGAGGUUCAAUUUGACUGCAGAAACGGAUUUAACAUGAAAACUAGAGUUUGAGGACACAGAAUUGCCUUGUACCUGAGGAAGCAGUUCCAGCAAAAACUGCUUGCAUAUACUGUUUUGGAAGCUU